GAUGAACGCUAGCGGGAGGCCUAACACAUGCAAGCCGAGCGGUAGAGAUUCUUCGGAAUCUUGAGAGCGGCGUACGGGUGCGGAACACGUGUGCAACCUACCUUUAUCUGGAGGAUAGCCUUUCGAAAGGAAGAUUAAUACUCCAUAAUAUAUUGAUUGGCAUCAAUUGAUAUUGAAAGCUCCGGCGGAUAGAGAUGGGCACGCGCAAGAUUAGUUAGUUGGUGAGGUAACGGCUCACCAAGACGAUGAUCUUUAGGGGGCCUGAGAGGGUGAUCCCCCACACUGGUACUGAGACACGGACCAGACUCCUACGGGAGGCAGCAGUGAGGAAUAUUGGUCAAUGGGUGCAAGCCUGAACCAGCCAUCCCGCGUGAAGGAACGACUGCCCUAUGGGUUGUAAACUUCUUUGUAUAGGGAUAAACCUAACCCUCGUGAGGGUAGCUGAAGGUACUAUACGAAUAAAGCACCGGCUAACUCCGUGCCAGCAGCCGCGGU
rnacentral:rRNA from 1 species